rnacentral:rRNA from 1 species
AGGACGAACGCUGGCGGCGUGCCUAACACAUGCAAGUGGAGCGACGAACCAGGCUUCGGCCUGGGGCAGAGCCGCGAACGGGUGAGUAACACGUGGGUAACCUGCCCUGAUGAUUGGGACAACCCGAGGAAACUCGGGCUAAUACCAAAUGUGCCCUCCGGCCUCAAGGCCUGUGGGGAAAGGAAGCUUCGGCCUCCGCAUCGGGAUGGGCCCGCGGCCCAUUAGCUUGUUGGUGAGGUAAUGGCUCACCAAGGCUACGAUGGGUAGCUGGUCUGAGAGGACGAUCAGCCACACUGGGACUGAGACACGGCCCAGACUCCUACGGGAGGCAGCAGUGGGGAAUCUUGCGCAAUGCGCGAAAGCGUGACGCAGCAACGCCGCGUGGGGGAAGAAGGCCUUCGGGUUGUAAACCCUUUCAGUUGGGACGAAGCUUCGCCGGUGAACAGCCGGCUGGAGUGACGGUACCUUCAGAGAAGCCCGGCUACUACGCGCCAGCAGCCG